UACGAAGGGGGCUAGCGUUGCUCGGAAUCACUGGGCGUAAAGGGCGCGUAGGCGGGCUGACAAGUCUGGGGUGAAAUCCCGCGGCUCAACCGUGGAACUGCCUCAGAUACUGUCGGCCUCGAGGGAGGUAGGGGCAUGCGGAACUGUAGGUGGAGCGGUGAAAUGCGUUGAUAUCUACAGGAACUCCGGUGGCGAAAGCGGCGUGCUGGACCUCUUCUGACGCUGAGGCGCGAAAGCUAGGGGAGCAAACGGG
rnacentral:rRNA from 1 species